AUACGGAGGGUGCAAGCGUUAAUCGGAAUUACUGGGCGUAAAGCGCGCGUAGGCGGAUUAGUAAGUCGGAUGUGAAAGCCCUGGGCUCAACCUGGGAAUUGCAUUCGAUACUGCUUGACUAGAGUAUGGUAGAGGGAAGUGGAAUUUCCGGUGUAGCGGUGAAAUGCGUAGAUAUCGGAAGGAACACCAGUGGCGAAGGCGACUUCCUGGGCCAAUACUGACGCUGAGGUGCGAAAGCGUGGGGAGCAAACAGGAUUAGAAACCCGAGUAGUCC
rnacentral:rRNA from 1 species